rnacentral:rRNA from 1 species
GAUGAACGCUAGCUACAGGCUUAACACAUGCAAGUCGAGGGGCAGCAUGAACUUAGCUUGCUAAGUUUGAUGGCGACCGGCGCACGGGUGAGUAACACGUAUCCAACCUUCCGUUUACUCAGGGAUAGCCUUUCGAAAGAAAGAUUAAUACCUGAUAGUAUGGUGAGAUUGCAUGAUAGCACCAUUAAAGAUUUAUUGGUAAACGAUGGGGAUGCGUUCCAUUAGGUAGUAGGCGGGGUAACGGCCCACCUAGCCUACGAUGGAUAGGGGUUCUGAGAGGAAGGCCCCCCACAUUGGAACUGAGACACGGUCCAAACUCCUACGGGAGGCAGCAGUGAGGAAUAUUGGUCAAUGGACGAGAGUCUGAACCAGCCAAGUAGCGUGAAGGAUGAAGGUCCUACGGAUUGUAAACUUCUUUUAUAAGGGAAUAAACCCUCCCACGUGUGGGAGCUUGUAUGUACCUUAUGAAUAAGCAUCGGCUAACUCCGUGCCAGCAGCCGCGGU